rnacentral:rRNA from 1 species
AGCGAACGCUGGCGGCAGGCUUAACACAUGCAAGUCGAGCGGGCGCUUCGGUGUCAGCGGCAGACGGGGGAGGAACACGUGGGAACGUACCCUUUGAUUCGGGAUAACGAAGGGUAACGCGCGCUAAUACGGGAUACGCGCUUUUGGGGUAAGGCUUGCUGCCGGAGGACCGGCCCGCGUCUGAUUGGCCAGUUGGUGGGGUAAUGGACGUCCAAGGCGACGGUCAGUAGCUGGUCUGAGAGGAUGGUCAGGCACACUGGCACUGACACUCGUCCCAGAUGCCUCCGGGUGGCGGCAGUGGGUUGUAUUUGCCCAUGGGGGUAAGCAUGAUCCACCCCUGCCGCGUGAGUGUUGCAGCCGUUAGGGUUGGAAAGCGCUUGUGUCCGAGACGAUAAUGUCGUUACCGGAAGAAUAAGCCCCGGCUAUCUUCGUG